UCUUCCAGAUACAGAUGAUCAGGGAGUCCUAUACCACCUCUACCAGAUACAGAUGAUCAGGGAGUCGUAUACCACCUCUACCAGAUACAGAUGAUCAGGGAGUCGUAUACCACCUCUACCAGAUACAGAUGAUCAGGGAGUCGUAUACCACCUCUACCAGAUACAGAUGAUCAGGUAGUCGUGUCCUAUACCACCUCUACCAGAUACAGAUGAUCAGGGAGUCCUAUACCACCUCUACCAGAUAUAGAUGAUCAGGGAGUCCUAUACCACCUCUACCAGAUACAGAUGAUCAGGGAGUCGUAUACCACCUCUACCAGAUACAGAUGAUCAGGGAGUCCUAUACCACCUCUACCAGAUAUAGAUGAUCAGGGAGUCGUAUACCACCUCUACCAGAUACAGAUGAUCAGGGAGUCGUAUACCACCUCUACCAGAUACAGAUGAUCAGGGAGUCGUAUACCACCUCUACCAGAUACAGAUGAUCAGGGAGUUAUAUACCACCUCUACCAGAUACAGAUGAUCAGGGAGUCGUAUACCACCUCUACCAGAUACAGAUGAUCAGGGAGUCGUAUACCACCUCUACCAGAUACAGAUGAUCAGGGAGUCUUGUCCUAUACCACCUCUACCAGAUACAGAUGAUCAGGGAGUCGUAUACCACCUCUACCAGAUACAGAUGAUCAGGGAGUCGUAUACCACCUCUACCAGAUACAGAUGAUCAGGGAGUCGUAUACCACCUCUACCAGAUACAGAUGAUCAGGGAGUCGUAUACCACCUCUACCAGAUACAGAUGAUCAGGGAGUCGUAUACCACCUCUACCAGAUACAGAUGAUCAGGGAGUCGUAUACCACCUCUACCAGAUACAGAUGAUCAGGGUGUCCUAUACCACCUCUACCAGAUACAGAUGAUCAGGGAGUCGUAUACCACCUCUACCAGAUACAGAUGAUCAGGAAGUCGUAUACCACCUCUACCAGAUACAGAUGAUCAGGGAGUCGUGUCCUAUAC